AAACGGAGGGUGCGAGCGUUAUCCGGAAUCAUUGGGCGUAGAGGGUUCGUAGGCGGUUUAGUAAGUAUGUUGUCAAAGUUCACUGCUUAACGGUGAAAAUGCAACGUAUACUACUAAACUAGGAGUUUGUUGGGAGUGCUGGAAUUCCCGGUGGAGGGGUGAAAUCCGUGGAGAUCGGGAAGAACACCAAGGGCGAAGGCAGGCACUUAAGCAACACUCGACGCUGAGGAACGAAAGCUAGGGUAGCAAAAGGGAUUAGAGACCCCUGUAGUCCUAGCUGUAAACAUUGCUUGCUAGCUGUCCCGGUUUAGCUGGGGUGGCGUAAGCUAACGCGUUAAGCAAGCCGCCUGGGAAGUACGACCGCAAGGUUAAA
rnacentral:rRNA from 1 species